GAUAAUGAAGUAAAUAUUACAUUUAGUUUCGACCUAAAAAUUAGGGUUUAACCAAAUAAAUUAUAA
rnacentral:tRNA from 1 species